UUGGGGUGGGGUGACUGCGUACCUUUUGUAUAAUGGGUCAGCGACUUAUAUUCUGUAGCAAGGUUAACCGUAUAGGGGAGCCGAAGGGAAACCGAGUCUUAACUGGGCGUUAAGUUGCAGGGUAUAGACCCGAAACCCGGUGAUCUAGCCAUGGGCAGGUUGAAGGUUGGGUAACACUAACUGGAGGACCGAACCGACUAAUGUUGAAAAAUUAGCGGAUGACUUGUGGCUGGGGGUGAAAGGCCAAUCAAACCGGGAGAUAGCUGGUUCUCCCCGAAAGCUAUUUAGGUAGCGCCUCGUGAACUCAUCUUCGGGGGUAGAGCACUGUUUCGGCUAGGGGGUCAUCCCGACUUACCAACCCGAUGCAAACUGCGAAUACCGAAGAAUGUUAUCACGGGAGACACACGGCGGGUGCUAACGUCCGUCGUGAAGAGGGAAACAACCCAGACCGCCAGCUAAGGUCCCAAAGUCACAGUUAAGUGGGAAACGAUGUGGGAAGGCUCAGACAGCCAGGAUGUUGGCUUAGAAGCAGCCAUCAUUUAAAGAAAGCGUAAUAGCUCACUGGUCGAGUCGGCCUGCGCGGAAGAUGUAACGGGGCUAAACUGUGCACCGAAGCUGCGGCAGCGACGCUUAUGCGUUGUUGGGUAGGGGAGCGUUCUGUAAGCCUGCGAAGGUGUCCUGUGAGGGAUGCUGGAGGUAUCAGAAGUGCGAAUGCUGACAUAAGUAACGAUAAUGCGGGUGAAAAGCCCGCUCGCCGGAAGACCAAGGGUUCCUGUCCAACGUUAAUCGGGGCAGGGUGAGUCGACCCCUAAGGCGAGGCCGAAAGGCGUAGUCGAUGGGAA
rnacentral:rRNA from 1 species